rnacentral:lncRNA from 1 species
UGAGGGUCAGAGCCAGCUGCCCUGCUGCCCAGCCCUUGAGGACACAGAGUCACACUCCUCUCCCACCCUCAAGUGCCUCGUGAACCCCUCUCUCCAGGAGGAGGGCAUCAUGACGCACUAGACCUGGCUGCAGGUGGUGAGUGAAUGUAGCUGCGCCCUGAGCAGAGGGGAGAGGGGCCAUGAGGAGGCUGUUUUGGGGCCCUUCUGGAGCAGGGCCGGAGAAGGGUAGGAGAUUGAAGAGGGUGAGUGAGAAAAGGCUGGACAGGACUAGGGCAGCUCCUCAACCCACCCCCAGGCACCCUCCCCUUCGCGCUGGACCUGGCUUUCCUUGAGGGGAGGAGGGAGUUUGUCCCCUUGAUCUGUGUGGCGCCUCUCCCCAGCACAGUGCUGCAAGUGCAACCAGCGGAAAUGCCCAGCCCCGGGACCAGGGGACUAGGGACAGGAGCCUACCCUGUGCGGCUCUGAGGAGUGGCUGUGAGCACUGCACGCAGGACUGAGAAAGCCCGGGAUAAGCCCGGAGUGCAGGGAAACCCGCAGCCCCCUGGGCAGAUGUGGAGAAGAAUCUGGACAAGCUGACCGAGACCCCGGUACCGGGGGUCUCCGUGUGUGCCUGGCUGCGUGAUCAGGUGACCCCAGACUCUGAGGGCGUGGAACUGCUUUUGCCAGGAAAGCGCUCUGGGCAUGCUGUGUAGGGGUGAAUUACCCUUACCCCCUUCACCAAGACCCAGAACUGCCUUUCCUAGGGGUGAAGUAAGGUUUCCAGGGCCUCAUGUUGCAGAAAAAAAGAACCCUAAAUUAACAUACAGAGAGAUUAAAUUAUCUCCAUUCCCAAUCUGGCAUAUUUCCUAAACCUUAAAUAAUUUGAGAGGCUUCCAUGUGGGCUUCUGAGAAACAGGAGGGCAGCUGGGAGAACUUCCCACGCCCACAAGCCUUUGUGUGAAAAUCCCUAAAAAUAGAGGUUGUUCUUCUAAAAACAAAAGGGAAGGCUAAGCCAUGGGAACACUGACAGAACCUAACCUCUCGCUUCUGCUCCAGCAAAGACGCGUGUGAAGAUAUAGAACAUCAUAUUUGCCAUUUUUACCAUUUUAACUGUACAGUUCAGUGGUAUUAAUCACACACAAUAUUGUCCAACCAUCAUCGCUAUUUCCAAAACUUUCAUCGUCCCCAAUAGACACUCUGUACCCACUAAGUACUAACUCCCCGUUUCGUCUACCCUCAGAGGUAACUCCCCUCAUCUACUUCCCGUCUCUAUGGAUUUACCUAUUUUGUGUAUUUCAUGUAAGUAGAAUCAUACAAUACUUGUCCUUUUGUGUCUGGCUUACUUCACUCAGCAUAAUGUCCUCAAGGUUCAUCCAUGUUGUAGCAUGUGUCAGAAUUUCAUUCCCAGCAAAGAAAUUUUUAAUAACCCAUCUCUGCCAGAAAAAAAGACCCCCCAAAAGUUACAGAUUAACCAUCUGUGAACAAAGGAUGAAUGGGCGGACAGGCUGACACAGUCACGUUACUGGAAUCCAUUAUGCAGUCACCGCUUGGCAUCUGCAGGAAAUUAGUUCCAGGCCCCCUGACCAAUACCAAAAUGCGUAGAUGCUUAAGUCCCUGAUAUAAAGUGAUGUAGUAUUUGCAUUUAACCUACACACAUCCUCCCACAUACUUUAAGUCAUCUCCAGAUUACGUAUAAUACCUAAUUCAAGGCCAGGCACAGUAGCUCACACCUGUAAUUCCAGCACUUUGGAAUUACAAAAAUUCCAAAUCUCCAGGCCAAGGUGAGAGGAUCACGUGAGCCCAGGAAUUCAAGACCAGCUUGGGCAACACGGUGAGAGCCUAUUCUUUUCCCCA